rnacentral:rRNA from 1 species
GCUCUAAUAGUGUAUAUUAAAGUUGUUGCAGUUAAAAAGCUCGUAGUUGAAUGUUGGUGUCGAACGAGCGGUCAGCUUCGGUUGUACUGCUCUCUCGACUCCUUCCUUCUGUGGACUACGUCGCACUUCACUGUGUGGCGCUAGGACGCAGAUCGUUUACUGUGAAAAAAUUAGAGUGUUCAAGCAGGCCGUACGCUUGA